AUUGAACGCUGGCGGCAGGCCUAACACAUGCAAGUCGAGCGGUAGCACAGGGAGCUUGCCCGUUGGUGACGAGCGGCGGACGGGUGAGUAACGUCUGGGACACUGCCUGAGGGAGGGGGAUAACUACUGGAAACGGUUGCUAAAACCGAAUAACGUCGCAAGACCACAGAGGUGGACCCUCUGGCACCUUGACACCAGGCGUGCCCAGAGUGGGUUAGCUAGUAGGUGGGGUAACGGCUCACCUAGGCGACGAUCCCUAGCUGGUCUGAGAGGAUGACCAGCCACACUGGAACUGAGACACGGUCCAGACUCCUACGGGAGGCAGCAGUGGGGAAUAUUGCACAAUGGGCGCAAGCCUGAUGCAGCCAUGCCGCGUGUAUGAAGAAGGCCUUCGGGUUGUAAAGUACUUUCAGCGGGGAGGAAGGUGUUGAGGUUAAUAACCUCAGCAAUUGACGUUACCCGCAGAAGAAGCACCGGCUAACUCCGUGCCAGCCGCCGCCGUAAAAC
rnacentral:rRNA from 1 species